ensembl:lncRNA
CAAGCAGAAACUGGCAACUACACCGUACACCUGUUAUUAUGCAUUACAAUGAAAUUAAAGUAUUUAGAGAAUUUGGCAAGGCCACGCUACUAAAACUAUGGCGGUGUCUGCAACUGCAAACACACAGAUGAGUGCUGCUCCUGCCUGCUAGGAAAAUAGUGCUGCACAAAGAACUGCUGGCAUCCAGCAGCUGGCCUUUCAAGAGGAGUGUCCACAAACAUGCCCUCUGUGACACCUGCUCAGGUGGCACGGGCGCCAGGCUCCGGCGCUGCGGCAGGAGCAGCGGGGAAGGGGCCCAGGAACGGCCCCGCACAGGCACUGACCUCCUUGGGGGAAGUGCAGAGCACUAUUUAUUCAGGUGCAAUAAUACAAAUCUUUGUGGGCUGUUCCGCAGUGAUAAAACGAAGAGGAUUCCAAAGAAUGCGUUCCCUGCGUGACUUCCUGAGCCCCACUCAACAGCUCUGCUGCAUUUCUGAAUAAUAUCCUGGAGUUUCAGGCACUAGUAUACAUCCUGAUAAGCAGGAAAGCUGCAAAGUCACAGGACACAGCAGUGACUUUCUUAAGUCCCUGAUGAUACUUGUGCUGAGACUGAGCUUGAUGAAAAGCUGUGGGAUGCACUGGCUGUUCCCUUGUCAAAGUCAAGCUGGAAGCUUUUAAGAAAACUUAAGCCUUCCCCUGCCUCAUUUUCUUGAUGGCUGUCAGAGGUAAGGGCAUUGGAAGAAAAGCGCAGAGGAUCCCUCUGCUAUAUGGAAUGCCAAGGAAUCCAUGUCUCUCUCUCACCAGGAAGGUUUCUAAUUUUGCUUGCUCCACUAUCAGUCUCGAUGAUCAAUGCUGACAUGAGUGGGUACCACCAGCAGGAGGCUGGCAGCACAUAACCUUCUGUGACAAAGGUUCCUCUCAUGUCCCCCAGCACAAGGAAGGUUUGUAAAACUAUACCUACGCUGUUCCCACUGGAAUCUGAGUUCAGCCACCACAUUAAAUAUGUUCCUAUACAAAAGACUAAAGCCAAAGAGUAGAAGUAACAGGGAACUGAUAUGCCAAGUUUAAAAAUGGACUUGUGUUCUGACCCAUUGGAUGGAUCUUGGGAAAACUACUGAUUUCCAUUGAAAAAGGAGAAAGGUAGGCCCAAACUGCAGUGGUCAAGAAAACUCAAAAGAAACAAGACUGAAACUUUUUGAUUUAGACUGAAUGGUCACCUGUAUGAGAAACAAGUUCAUUAUCACACCACUGUUCAGAGAGCAAUUGUGUGUACACAGUGAAGGCACGCAGCAAGAUUAACUCUGCUAAGAAACCCCACAACAAAGCAGGUUUCAAAACAGAAGAACCUGUGUACAUCUCGCUGUGUAAACCAGACAGACGCUAGGAAAAGAUGACAAGAGUUGUUUGAUAUGAAUCCAAGAUACAGCCAUUUUAACAAAGCUUUUUUAACCAUCCAAUUGACAGUAUGAAUAAACACACCUCACAUCAAGCUGGACACAUAAUUAUGUCUCCAUUGAGUGCAUUGGGGUAUAUAAGUUAAUUAAAAGCACUUGCACUGCCAGCUCUCACAUCAUUGUUCGGCUUUUAGUUCUU